GUCCUUGAUCGCAUGAGUCGGGGCAGAAAGUUUUUUCGGUUGAAGAUGACUUCGCGGCCUAUCAGCUUGUUGGUGAGGUAAUGGCUCACCAAGGCGACGACGGGUAGCCGGCCCUGAGAGGGCGACCGGCCACACUGGGACUGAGACACGGCCCAGACUCCUACGGGAGGCAGCAGUGGGGAAUAUUGGGCAAUGGAGGAAACUCUGACCCAGCGACGCCGCGUGAGGGAUGAAGGCCUUCGGGUUGUAAACCUCUUUCAGUAGGGAAGAAGCGAAAGUGACGGUACCUACAGAAGAAGCACCGGCUAACUAUGUG
rnacentral:rRNA from 1 species